rnacentral:rRNA from 1 species
AAUAGAUACCCAGGUAGUCCCAGCUGUAAACGAUGCGCGUUAGGUGUAUCGGUGACCACGAGUCACCGAGGUGCCGAAGAGAAAUCGUGAAACGUGCCGCCUGGGAAGUACGGUCGCAAGGCUGAAACUUAAAGGAAUUGGCGGGGGAGCACCACAACAGGUGGAGCCUGCGGUUUAAUCGGACUCAACGCCGGGAAGCUCACCGGAUAAGACAGCUGAAUGAUAGCCGGGUUGAAGACUCUGCUUGACUAGCUGAGAGGAGGUGCAUGGCCGUCGUCAGUUCGUACUGUGAAGCAUCCUGUUAAGUCAGGCAACGAGCGAGACCCACGCCAACAGUUGCCAGCAUGUCCUCCGGGAUGGUGGGGACACUGUUGGGACCGCCUCUGCUAAAGAGGAGGAAGGAAUGGGCAACGGUAGGUCAGCAUGCCCCGAAUUAUCCGGGCUACACGCGGGCUACAAUGGUCAGGACAAUGGGUAUCAACACCGAAAGGUGAAGGCAAUCUCCUAAACCUGUUCUUAGUUCGGAUUGUGGG